GAUAUGUCCUUCAGUUUCCUAGAUCCCUCUGACUAUGCAUACCCCGUCCAAAGAAAAUAAUAAAGAAAACCUACAGACAAUAAAAUGCAGUAAAUUCUAUCUUCGUGUUUGUCUAGGUUAAUCCUUUCAAUCAGAACUCUUCAUCUGAAACUGGUUUCUUCUUGUGUACGAAUUUCUUUUUCUUAAUUUGUGUUACUCUUCAAUUGAUUUUCUCCUUCUUUGUUUAUUUACUUUGAUUACAUAGUAUUUGGAUUCUACCAAGGUUUGUGAGUAUGGUAAACUUAGUACUUUGUUUCAAUUGAAAGUAAUCGCUCAUCUCUUUGAAGGUGAAAAUGAUAUUUAGCCCUUCCUUUGUCACCUCCACCACAAAUCUUUGUCUACAUUUCACCAUACUGUCGCUUUAUUCUUUAACCUUAUCUUGAUUAAUUGCGUUCUGCUUUUAGUAUUUUUUUUCUUUUCACUUCAAUUUUUUCACUUAAUAUAUUCACUAAAGUUAGUUUUUAUAUGUAAUUUUUUUUGAAUUGAUGUAGUUUUGAAAAAAACAAUCCCUUUUUGAAGCCUUCUAAUAUUAUGAGAACUUAUUAUAGUAGCACCUCUGAGGUAUGUUAUUCUUUAUUUAUAAUAAAAUAUUUACCUAAUACUGUUUUUCUGUUUCAAUAAUAUUUUUGUAGAAUUUAAUUGAUAUCUAAAUAAAACAUAUAAUUUCUCUUAGAAAAGUAGCAUGCUUGUCUUACAUUUAGAAGAAAGGUGGAUGAAGAGGCCAUCUAGUUGCUAUAUGAUUCAACUAUCACCUACUUUGAAUAUGUCAUAUCUCACUGAAAAAGUUUUAAAUAUAUGAAGCACUUGUGUCUGGGUGUAGUUUUAAUUUCUUUUGGCAUAAUUUCAUUUGAUUGGUAAUUUUGGUUUUCUAAUUUUUUGAUUUCAUUGACUAGCUUUUAAGGUUUCACAGUUAUAAAUGUGGUAUAUCAUUCUUUAGUGUUUUUGUCAUUGAGUGGGUUGUAAAAAAUUUCUAUAAUCAGAAUAAUUGAUGCCCAUAUAUAUUUACCCGUGGAAGUGCAUUUCGAGCAUGAUAUUACUACUUUGCACUUGAAAAUUAUUUGUUUCAUGCAGGGAUAUUUAUUUAAACUACUUAAUAUGAAUGGUAUGUCAUGGUGUCUAUUGCCUGUUUAGUUAAGUCUUUUGUUUCUGAUACAAGAGAUAAAUACAAAGUGAUUUAGGUUUUUGGAAAUGUGUUUGAACCUUGAGAUAUAAAUAUUCUUCAUGAUUUACCAUACGAUGGUGUGUAGAGAUCAAAAUGCGAGUGUAUAUUUGUGCAAAUUAGGAUUUCAGAAGCUGAAUUUGUUAUCAAGCAGGAAUGUUGGGCAGGGUGUUGGAGGAGAGCUGGUUUAUAGAAUUCAAUUGUCAAAAUAUUUUAAACUUGAUAUGAAAGAUUUUCAUCAAAAAUGAAGUUGUCGAGAUAUUUUGAACAUGAUUUCUUCUAAAGUUCAUUUGUUGCAAAACCAUAGACAAUUUAUCACAAUGUUUAUUCUAAAUAUUUAUGGUGAAUCAACAAGUGUUCUAAUACAUAUCACUUGAGAAUUGCAUAAUAUAGAUGGAUUUCAAAGUUAGUGUCAUCUAUCUAUCCUUGUGAAUACAGAAUGCGGUAGGAUCAACUCACAUUCUUAUCUUUAAUACAGACAAAAUUAUUACUUGUGCAGUUCCUCAACAAUAUUUGUAACUUUCAUUGAUGUGUUAUGGGUAGUACUAAAUAUAUAUGGAGCUGCAACUUAGAUACUGUUCAACAUUGUUUGAUAUCUAGUAAUGCCUUUUUGAAGAAGUACUUUCAAAGAACAGUACUCUUCUCAACUUCAUGCAGAGAGAGGUUAAUAAUCAAAACCAUGAAUAAAUCUUUUGAUAUAAUAUUUGGCCUACUAACAUCUCCAAUCAUUUAGAGUAAGAAAAACACCUAAUCUGGUACCGACAAACUUACUAGUGCUCCAGAUGGAACACAUAUUCAGUCAAGCAUAGUAGUUUACUGAUGUCUAACUUCGGUUAUGUUAUAACUAUCUGCUUCUUCAUGUAAGCAUUUCAGAAGCCAAAUCCAACAUAAACUCUGUCACAACACAUAGUUUAUAACAUUACUUUCACUCAUUGCCUGAAAGUGAGCUGAGUCUUGUGUGCUAAUGAUUGAAUAAGCAGACGCCAGGAGCUCAAACAUUCCUUUUUUGUAUAAUUCCGCAAAGGAAGACACGAUGGGCAGAGCCUUAAAACAACAGCUAAAUUCACAAAUACCCUCAUGCAGAUUAACUUAGUCACUUAUUCAAUGUUUCUGCCUAAUCCCUCAAACUGCCAACACCCCUGGUCGGGCCUCUUCCAUUGCUGAAGGUAAUGAGUUUGAAGUACGGAGAACUUGCCUAUGAAGAAAGUGCAGUUUAAGUAUAAACAACUGAAUUGUUAAAGAUCCAGUUAAAGCACAAGAGAGAUCUAGACAAGUUCUCUUUUUUCAUAGAAUUGUUUAUACAUGUUAAAAUUUGUAUAUAAUUUAUUUUCUUUUUUCAAGAGUAAACAAAUUAUAAUGUCAAGAAGUUGUAUCAGUACAUUGUUAAUAGAUA